rnacentral:rRNA from 1 species
UUCGUAGGGAGCAAGCGUUAUCCGGAUUUACUGGGUGCAAAGGGUGCGUAGGCGGCCCUGCAAGUCAGAUGUGAAAUUUAGAGGCUCAACCUCUAAACUGCAUUUGAAACUGUGGGGCUCGAGUGAAGUAGAGGCAGGCGGAAUUACCUGUGUAGCGGUGAAAUGCGUAGAGAUAGGGAGGAACACCAGUGGCGAAGGCGGCCUGCUGGGCUUUGACUGACGCUGAGGCACGAAAGCGUGGGUAGCAAAC